rnacentral:rRNA from 1 species
UACGUAGGUGGCGAGCGUUAUUCGGAUUUAUUGGGCGUAAAGGGUUCGUAGGGGGUUGGUUAAGUCGGAUGUGAAAGCCCGUAGCUCAACUACGGAAAGCCAUUCGAUACUGGCUGACUAGAGGAUCGGAGAGGAGAGCGGAAUUCCUGGUGUAGCGGUGGAAUGCGUAGAUAUCAGGAGGAACGCCAACGGCGAAGGCAGCUCUCUGGACGAUACCUGACCCUGAGGAACGAAAGCUAGGGGAGCAAAC